rnacentral:rRNA from 1 species
CAAUUGAAGGGUUUGAUCCUGGCUCAGAAUGAACGUUGGCGGCGUGGAUUAGGCAUGCAAGUCGAGCGAGAAGUGUAGCAAUACACGGAAAGCGGCGGAAGGGAGAGUAAUACGUGGGAAUCUGCCCUUAGACCUGGGAUAGCAGCGG